CCUCAAAGAGGGGGACAACAGUUGGAAACGACUGCUAAUACCGCAUACGAUCCAAUCUCGGCAUCGAGGAUGGAUGAAAGGUGGCCUCUAUUUAUAAGCUAUCACUGAAGGAGGGGAUUGCGUCUGAUUAGCUAGUUGGAGGGGUAACGGCCCACCAAGGCAAUGAUCAGUAGCCGGUCUGAGAGGAUGAACGGCCACAUUGGGACUGAGACACGGCCCAG
rnacentral:rRNA from 1 species